UACGGAGGGAGCUAGCGUUGUUCGGAAUUACUGGGCGUAAAGCGCGCGUAGGCGGCUUUGUAAGUUAGAGGUGAAAGCCCGGGGCUCAACUCCGGAAUUGCCUUUAAGACUGCAUCGCUCGAAUUGUGGAGAGGUAAGUGGAAUUCCGAGUGUAGAGGUGAAAUUCGUAGAUAUUCGGAAGAACACCAGUGGCGAAGGCGGCGAUCUGGGAAGAUACUGACGCUGAGGUGCGAAAGCGUGGGGAGCAAACAGG
rnacentral:rRNA from 1 species